GGGGAUGAUCGGUUUCGACAGCGGAUGUCGAAGCAGGGGAAGCGAGCCGAGGAAGCGGCAAUGAUCUCGUUAACCAUAUGUCGCAACCAAUAAUCGCCACUUCCAAGAGCGAUUCCCGCGCCUUCGCGCUCGCUGCCUAAUUAGCAGCUAGCGAAGGCCUUCGGGUGUCAGCCCGGGGCUGUUCCCGACCCGGAUCCUGGCAUCAGCUAGGGGACUAAACCUCUAAGCCCGGUCACGGGGCUUAGAGGGAAACCAAACAGUGACUGAGCCCGUCGGAGACUUGUUCGCGUGAUCUCCGGGGCUGAGAAAAUCGCAGCGAACUGCGCUCGGAGAAGCCCUGAUUCUGCACCGUUGGACGCGGGUUCGAUUCCCGCCAUCUCCACAA
rnacentral:tmRNA from 1 species